AAGUAUAUGUACAGGUAAAUUACAAGCAUCAUUACAAUUCUCCCCUAAAUAUUUUGGCCUGUCUCACCUACAUAUUUUGGCCUGUCUCACCUAAAAAUAACAUGCACCAACAGACGCGCCCAAUGUAGCAUUUUCACACUUAGCAAAAAUUAACAAUUUCCUAAUGUCAUCUAACAUGCAGUCCAUAUUCAGAUUUUUCCAAAUGUCCCUUAAAUGUCUUUUAUGGCUGUUUCUAUUUUCCAUAUCAAGAUUCAAGGAGAAUCACAAAUUCCAUCUGGUUUUGAUGUCUCUUUACUUUCCUCUUUUCUAAAAGAUCCCUACCCUUUCAUCAAUGACAUUGGGAAGCGUCCAGGCCAAUUAUCUUGUAGAACGUCCCACAUUCUGGAUUUCUGUGAUUGUUUCCUCAGGCAGGGGUGUGCUAUGUAACUUUUCUAGGCUUAUAUCCCCAUCUGUGAAAUGGGUAUCCUCACAGUAGCUGCCGCCGGUUACUCCACACGGUAGAUGCGAGGAUUAAAUGCAGAAAUGCUUGGCAAGUGCUCGGUCUGGUAUUUGGCACAAAGUAAAUGGUGCUAUUGACAUUGCCAUCAGCAUCCUCCGCAUCACCAGCACGGUGCUCAGCACCCCAGGUUCCAAGCCGCAGUGACACGUGAACUCGCCCGAUCCUUUCCUCACCCUUCCGGGAUCUCAGGCUCAUUUUGCUCUGUUCCUUCUGUCCUGCAGAGCUUAAUUGAUUAAAUGCAUCUCUCACUAGCCCCUCCAAGAACGGGUGGUUAACCUCUACCCGUCCUCCUAAGGACACGCUCUUUGUUCAGAAUCACAGUUGCAUUACCCCAGAAUGGCUCAGACGAUCGUGAGGCAUUGACCGGUGCGGUGCCCACCCAAGAAGGAAAAUUUCCUUAAAUUAUACAUGAAUUGCUGAAGUAGCAUUCCCGUUGCCUUGGAAAGGUGCAAAGGAUUGCACUCGCGAAACCUUAGUGGAAGGGAAUGUCUGUGGUCAGGAGCGGCACCAACCUGGCAGUCAGACCGACCUUAGACUCCUAGCCCCGUUACUUCCCUGCUGACUAGCUUUGGGCUAAUUACUUUACCUCAUUAAGAUCAACGUCCUCAUCUGUGAAAUAGAGGUUAACUCAGCAGGCUUGGGAUGGCCAAACCAUACACAUUUCAAAGAAAAGGAAUGGCCUUUGAUCUGCUUCUGGGAGAUGACCUCUAAGCCCUUGACUAUCUUGCCUGAUGAGAGUGGCUUCAUAUACCUGGGAUCUUGGGUCAUGCUAGUUGGUUUAUACUAAUGUGUGAUUUAUGGUGGGGGCUUUGGGUCAUUCUGUAUUAGUUCAAUUUCUGGAGAGGCUGGAGACCGAGUAACUAAGAUCAGUCACACAGUCAUUCUGUGUCUCCAUGACUGAUCCCCAACAAAAACCACAGACAUCAAAUCUUAGGUAAGCGUCCCUGGUUGACAAUACUUUGUGUGUUGUCACAUAUUAUUAUUGGGAGAAUUAAGCAAUAUCCCUGUCAUUCCACUGAGAGGACAUAGCUGGAGGCUAGUGCUGGGACUGUCCUGUGUACCUUUCUCCUUUGAUGGUUUUAAUCAGUAUCCUUUCACUGUAAUACCACUGAGCCACCAGG
ensembl:lncRNA